ensembl:lncRNA
GCCGCCGGCGGGGCGCGCGGGGCAGGCGCAGGCAGGGUCGCCGCGCGGACUUGCUACCGCCGUCGCGAGCACCGGGUCGGCAGGAAAAGUUUUCUCGAGCCGGGCCGGCGCGUUCUCUCCGCCCAGGAGUGCGGGCACUGCAGCUCCGCGCCGAGGGACCAGGCAUAUUCUGUUUUCCGUUGGCGUCCAUGAAAGAGUAACAGGCUCCAGUCCCUUCACGUGUCCUGAAACUACUCACCUAUCUAAGAAUCUCAGCAUUAUUGGCAUAACUCCACCUCCCUGUGCCUUUCCUCUCACGGAAGGAAGCUGAAAGAAGGGAUGAGUCAUGAGAAGCGACCCCAUGGACUGCAGCCCACCAGGCUCCUCCAUCCAUGGGAUUCUCCAGGCAAGAGUGCUGGAGUGGGGUGCCAUUGCCUUCUCCGAAAGCACAUACAGAGCUGGCCUGUCAGUGGAGCCAUUACUGCUGAGAAUGACCAGAACGUGGGGCUCAAGAACAUCACCCUGUGAUAGAAGGUGGAGCCAAAAAGCUACUGCCCUCACAGCUGCCGUAAACCGCCUCUUGUCUUCCAGGAGGCUGGGAGUUCCAUUCUGCUUGAGGAAACAUCUGAACUAACAUCUCACAUCAGCAUUAUUUGUAAGUUGCUCAUUGCAUUGAACUGAGGUAGCCAUUUGGACACACAGAGGUUUUGUCUCUCUAGCAAGGGUGGUUCCCUUCUUUUUUUGGUUUUUUAAAGAAACUCCCCACCCACCUCCGUACUGGGACUGUGCCACCCUGACUCUUGCACACACUCGCCAUGCCUGGGUAAGGGGAGUGGGAAACUGGUUCAGUCAUAAACAUGUGACAUGCGGAGCGUGUCCCAAACGGAACCCUGCUUGGGAUCGCUGUGCACACCUGGGAAGGAGAAGUCUUCCCUCCGUGGGCUCGCUGAGCCAGGAGGACGUGAGGAUGGUACUGGUGUCAUCUCGCUGCCGAGCGGGAAGAGCCUCUGUGGGGACAGUCGGGGAAGAAGAGCAGAACUGGAGCACGGAGACGGAGGCCUGCCCUCACUGCCGGGCCCGGGGCUGCUUCACGUCUGAUACCAGCUCGUGAGCACUGCGUGAGGUCAGCAGCAUCUGCUGCCACAAGAGGUGCUCAGUGAAUGUUAUUUCCCACCUCUUUUCUUCCCUCUUUGACUUUGGCGGCUGCCAGACAAGGGUUGAGACCAUCUAUGGCAGCCAGCACUUCUUUCUUUUAGAGGAAAGCCAGCCAGUCUGGACAACAAUGAGCACACGGUUAGCCCCCCAGAGCAGUGCAGGCCGCCUCUGCGCCUGACAGGUUCUGUCUUCAGAAAC